UACGAAGGGGGCGAGCGUUGUUCGGAAUUACUGGGCGUAAAGGGCGCGUAGGCGGCGUCUCAAGUUAGAUGUGAAAGUCCUGGGCUUAACCUGGGGACUGCAUUUGAUACUGGGUUGCUUGAAUUCGGGAGAGGAUAGCGGAAUUCCCAGUGUAGAGGUGAAAUUCGUAGAUAUUGGGAAGAACACCGGUGGCGAAGGCGGCUAUCUGGACCGACAUUGACGCUGAGGCGCGAAAGCGUGGGGAGCAAACAGG
rnacentral:rRNA from 1 species